UACGUAGGGUGCAAGCGUUGUCCGGAAUUAUUGGGCGUAAAGAGCUCGUAGGCGGUGUGUCGCGUCGGCCGUGAAAACCUGCAGCUUAACUGUGGGCUUGCGGUCGAUACGGGCAUCACUGGAGUUCGGCAGGGGAGACUGGAAUUCCUGGUGUAGCGGUGAAAUGCGCAGAUAUCAGGAGGAACACCGGUGGCGAAGGCGGGUCUCUGGGCAACAACGUGACGCUGAGGAGCGAAAGCGUGGGGGAGCGAACAGG
rnacentral:rRNA from 1 species